GACGAACGCUGGCGGCGUGCUUAACACAUGCAAGUCGAACGAAGAGCGAUGGAAGCUUGCUUCUAUCACUCUUAGUGGCGAACGGGUGAGUAACGCGUAAUCAACCUGCCCUUCAGAGGGGGACAACAGUUGGAAACGACUGCUAAUACCGCAUACGAUCUGACCUCGGCAUCGAGGAUAGAUGAAAGGUGGCCUCUACAUGUAAGCUAUCACUGAAGGAGGGGAUUGCGUCUGAUUAGCUAGUUGGAGGGGUAACGGCCCACCAAGGCGAUGAUCAGUAGCCGGUCUGAGAGGAUGAACGGCCACAUUGGGACUGAGACACGGCCCAGACUCCUACGGGAGGCAGCAGUGGGGAAUCUUCCGCAAUGGACGAAAGUCUGACGGAGCAACGCCGCGUGAGUGAUGACGGCCUUCGGGUUGUAAAGCUCUGUUAAUCGGGACGAAAGGCCUUUUUGCGAAUAGUGAGAAGGAUUGACGGUACCGGAAUAGAAAGCCACGGCUAACUACGUG
rnacentral:rRNA from 1 species